AUUCCCUUUAUAAACACCAGGAACCCCUUCUAAACCAAAGCCUUCUAUAAAAGUUGCCAGAGAGUGAACAGAAACUUUGGUUAUUGCUCAAGUGCUGCGAGAGAGAGAGAGUGCAACCUUCGUUUUGGGUUCUGCAGAUUGUUGUGGUUAACGUAGAGAGGUCUAGCAAUGGGUCCAGGAGGACCAGGAGGGCCUGGAGGGCCUGGUUGGGGAGGUCCCCCGGGCCCUGGUGGGCCGGGACCCUUUGGUGGCUUUUUUAACGUCAUUGGUUCCUGCCUGACUUUCAUAUGUUGUUGCUGGUUGCUACAAGAUUGCUUUGGUGGGCCUGGAGGCCCACCUGGUCCACCGGGACCACCUGGACCAUAAUCAUCUCAUCCUCCAUCCUACGGUACCAUCCAUACAAUCACUGCGUGCUGCUGCUGCUGUUUUAGCUUUCAAAGUCAUUUGUAAUUUUUCCUUAAGAGUUCAUCAUGUCCAUCUGUUAUGCGAAAAUAAUGACUGAUUUGGAGCCAAAGUUACUGUAUUGUUGAAGAACAUCACUGUUCUUUUAGUUCUCUCACUUCAUGUCUUUCUUUCUCAAUGGCUGGCUGUUCUACAUUUGUGCUGAUUAUCGAAUCAAACUGUUAUUCAUGAUUCCAUAAUCCAAUCGUUUACAUAUAUUUGUAACGUCAAAUUAUCGAAAGACUCCAAUGAUAUAAUUGAUUGGAAUACUGAUCUUCUGGAA